GUACAGACUGUUAUGAGUGUUUACACGGCUGGAGAAGGCCUCCUUGUGAGAGUGAGUUAGAGCUGAGAUCUUAAGGAUGAGGAGGGGUUGUCUCGUAGAUUCCGUAACUUACAUGAAUGUCUUCUACACGGUGGGGGCUGGUUUGUAAAGUCCUUUCGGCAGCAUGUUCUAUCAGCAUCAGUCUUGCUGUUUUUCCUUUAUUCUGAGACAGGAACUUUAGGAUUAAAUAAUUCUAUUUGGCAAGGGCAGAGUUAAAAUUUACAGUGGCAGUUGCUUUGGAUCACACCUUUUUUCUUUUUCUUUUUUUUUUUUUUCCCUAUGAAGUAGAGAGAGCAUCACCUGUUUGCUCCUUGCCCCCUUACCCCCAGGGCUGAUGUGAAGACCAAAUACAAUGGUAACUGUGAAGGUAGUCUCUAGGCCAUAAAGCCUAAUGUCCUAUAAGGUGGUAUUAUUUUUCCAAGUUCUUGGUCCUGCAGUGGUGUUAAUAGCUGCUUUACCACUAGGCUAAGAUGCUUACCUAUGGCAUUGACACUAAAAUUCAUCUAGAAGCGUCACCUAGGAUGCUGUUUCCAAAAGGGACAUUUUCCCAAGCAGAAACACUUGUUUUGUUUUGUUUUUGAAACCCCUGCUUCGGAAAGAUAACAGUUAAAGCAAAACUAAGCAAACCACCCAAGAUUCUAGGGCAAUUGGUAGACCAUGAAAUCAACAUUCAUUGACUUCCCCUUGCGCUCCCCGUAAAUACAGUGGCAGAAUGUUGUCUUUCUUCCCUGACAAGUUAGAGUAACAAUGCUCAGAGUAGCUAAGACGAGGGAUACCUGUCACCAUCACCGUGGGGCGAGUGAUGCUGAGACACCCUGACCAGAGAGCCACAUGCAGGUGCACUCUGGGGCCUCUCCUUCUUUCUGGUCAGCGUGGUCAAACAUGUGAAUGCUCUUCUACCCGCCCCUUCCAUACAACUCUCCUUGGGGGCUGGACCAUAUCUUCAGCUUACUUUUUGUAGCUCAGCUGCAGGGCACAACAUUUGGAAGACUCAACAUUUCAUAGUCUUGUCUGGAAACAGCCACUUGGGCAGCUUUGAGACAGGCAGGUGUUCGUAUGCAGACAGAACUGCAAUGUUCACCCUUGGCUGAACUUAGCUAGGGCCUCCGGCAGCACUACAGGAAUAACAGGGCGGGAUGACUGGGGCCCCCAGAUUUUGUUCUCCUGUGCUGCAUAGGGGACCAGACUUGACACCCCAGGCUUCAUUUUCCCUGGGAGCAUCCAUAAAGGCGUAGCCAAAGGCUGAAGGCUACCCGGAUAGGUGACAAAGUUUUUUAAAGGAAUCCAGGCUGUCAUGUUGAUCUCAGGCCCAGUGAAGUUACGGCUCACCUAGUCUGGGAGGUGCUAGGAGAUGGGGGGACAGGGGAAGAAAAAUACACGAAGGAGCCGCUUUCUCAGAGACUUUAGCAGGAACAGAAUGCAUUUUGCUUCUGAGCUACUUUGCUAGCAUUGGGAUGAGCAAGGCAGCGGUGAGUGCCGAUCUGGUUUUGACAACAGGCGCUUCCCGCAUCAAGUCGGAAUGUGGGCUUGCUGCUGUAGCUGAGAGAGCCGCUCUGCCCCCGUGCAGGGCUCUCUCCCACGCCAGCUUCUGGAGGUUCCGGACACCUGCUGGAGGGAGGAUUGGAUUUGUGACUGGAGCCCGCCAGCCAAGAGCAUCCAUUAAAUUCUUUGACAACAUGAGAGAACAUUUAAGCGACCAUUCCAACAGAGAAACUUCUACUUGGUUUUGGAACGAUAGCUGGGAGCCAGUGUUGGUUUAUGCUCUUCACGUAUGUAACACACGAGUUUGGGAGCAGCUUAGCUGGAUGGUUCUUGCUUGGGUGUCUCUUCAGAUCACACUUCAGACGACUGCUGCCAAGGGGUGCUCGUUCAGGAGUAUUGGUCAGAUCACAUGUAAAAGAGCUUUUGAGGUAGAGACUACAGCACCUAGAGAGGAAACGGCUCAUUCUCCAGUCCUAGUUCACACAGACCAGCAGGCAAGAGCACAGGUGUGCACCUCAGACAGACGUUUCCGUCCGGCUCAUUAUGAACUCAGUAAUCUCUAUACCCAACAUGCGGCUUGAACUCACGACCCCAAGAUGAAGAGUUACAUGCUCUACCUCCUAAGCCAGCCAGGUGCCCCUAGACAUGUAAUUUGAUUUGAUAAAACAUUCUGAGCACAGUUGUUGGAAACUGCAAAAUCAGCAUGUGUCAACUAAAAGUCUUGUGCCUUUUACUUUAGAGACUGAACUUCCUUCCUGCUUCAAGGAACUGGUGUAAGUGAGGAUGCAUUUCACUAUCUUGCAGAAGAGCUCCUGACCGACAUGGAUUUAGAAUUCAGAAGUAUGUCUUCCAGAUAGGUUGAAGCCUUGCCCUGCUGCAAAGCUGAUGCCCUUACAGCAGCAGAGAGACUGUUAGAAAACUUGUUUUCCACUUCGAGUAUACCUUCUGUAAUCACCAGUGAUUGAGUCACCCACUUCAAUGGGCAAAUCAUACAAGCAUUAAUGAAAGCUUUGCAAACCUCUUGAAAUGAUCACUGUCCCAAUCACCCUCGAUUAUAUCAGGCAAGACUGAGAGAACGAAUGGGAUCCUCAAACUUACAAAUCUCUAAACUUGCUGAAAAACUGGACUCCUUUGACCUAAGGCGUCGCUUCUGGCCUUGACGACUAUUCACAGCACCCACUUUGGGAAACGAACUCAUUCUACUACAUGAGACAGUUACUGGUAGACCAAUGUCUAUUGGUAUACAACUUUCUGUUGAUGCCUUGUUUCAAGCUAGCCUGACAUGAUACUGUAAGUCUUUAACGUCUUUUGCUAAAGCCUAUUAUCAAUAGGUUAAUGAAGCUUUCCUGGAUCCCAAUUCAAAGGAUCCUGUCGGUCACAGUCUUAG